rnacentral:lncRNA from 1 species
AGAAAUUUCAUUAAACUUCGUUUCUUGAAUAGCACAAUAUAAUAUGUUCAUAGCAUUAGCAUUCAAUUGUGCUAAGUCCUUUUCAUUAAUAGUUUGAGAGAAUGUGUGAAGGUCAUUUAUUAUGAUUUUCCAUAAAUAAUAGUUUUGUGAUUGAAUAAAAAUGCGCAUGCGUAUUUUCCAAUGUGUAUAGUUUAUGCCAUUAAAUAGUGGAGGUGUAUCAAUUGAUUGUCCUUCUCCUAGAAAACUAUCUAUUUGAGUUGUCAUGAUCUUUGGCUCUUGAUCGUGAGAUCAAUGAUUAAACUUAGAGCACCCGCUCUGAUACCACUUGUUGCCCAGUAGAUACAACCCAAGAGGGGGGUGAAUUGGGUCUUUUAAAACUUUUAUGCUACUUCUAAAACUUUUUGAUUUACUAUGCUAAGUUGUAUAGAUGCACAGUGAAAGUUAAACUUAGCAAGAGUUUGAUGUAUAGACUUCGACUUGAUUAAAUAUGCUUGCAACUAAAGGAUAUGC